rnacentral:lncRNA from 1 species
GUGAAAUUUGCUUUUGCAGCUGUUCUUUACAAAAUGGCUCCCAUUGAAUAAUGAGUGUCCUGCUUUUUAUUUAAAAAUUUUCAACCCAUAUUAGUUUCCAAAUAACAACAUCAAGUUUGUUGGCUUUGCUGAACUUGGCUGCAGGGUUGACCAGUACUUACUGGCACGUGAGCAGGCGCCCGUCCUCCUUCUGUUGACUGCUUCUUCAGUUACAGGAAUGAAAAAGAGAUUUUUCCAGAGAAGCUUCAGGGUUUUUCCCCUGAUGUCCAGCACUAGCACAACUCAUGACUUCAUUUAAGAUGCUGAAAUAAACUCUAAUUGAAUGCACCAUCUGGAAACAUUGAACUACAUGGAGAAAGCAGUGGGAUCAAUUCACAUCAUCCUCCACACCCCCACUGGGAGCAAGUUGAUGCUGAGUGGCAGCAAUGGGGAGCUCUUGAAAUUAAAUGUCACCUCCAUACCACUCCCUCUCCUCAAACCAUGGCCUAAAUUGAAGCAGAUGG